UUCAUCUAUUUAAUAUUAAUUAAUAUUAAAAAUAACACAUUUUCCUAUUCAUGGUUCUCUGACUUUGGUUUAUGGUCACAUGACAUGCAGGUAAACAAAUUAAA